GACAGAGGGUGCAAACGUUGUUCGGAAUUACUGGGCGUAAAGCGCGUGUAGGCGGUCUUGAAAGUCAGGCGUGAAAGCCCCGGGCUUAACCUGGGAAUUGCGCUUGAUACUCUGAGACUGGAGUACGGGAGAGGAGAGUGGAAUUCCCAGUGUAGAGGUGAAAUUCGUAGAUAUUGGGAAGAACACCAGUGGCGAAGGCGGCUCUCUGGACCGUAACUGACGCUGAGGCGCGAAAGCGUGGGGAGCAAACAGG
rnacentral:rRNA from 1 species